UACGUAGGCAGCAAGCGUUGUUCGGAGUUACUGGGCGUAAAGGGCGCGUAGGCGGCCUUCUAAGUCAGACGUGAAAUCCCCCGGCUUAACCUGGGAACUGCGUCUGAUACUGGGAGGCUAGAGUGCGGGAGAGGGAUGCGGAAUUCCAGGUGUAGCGGUGAAAUGCGUAGAUAUCUGGAGGAACACCGGUGGCGAAGGCGGCAUCCUGGACCGACACUGACGCUGAGGCGCGAAAGCUAGGGUAGCAAACGGG
rnacentral:rRNA from 1 species